GAACGCACAUUGCGCCCUCUGGUAUUCCGGAGGGCAUGCCUGUUCGAGCGUCAUUUCAACCCUCAAGCUCUGCUUGGUAUUGGGCGACGUCCGCUGCCGGAUGCGCCUCGAAGAUCUCGGCGACGGCGUCUUAGCCUCGAGCGUAGUAGUAACAUCUCGCUUUGGAGCGCUAGGCGUUGGCCGCCGGACAAUCGACCUUUGGUCUAUUACUUCCAAGGUUGACCUCGGAUCAGGUAGGGAUACCCGCUGAACUUAAG
rnacentral:misc_RNA from 1 species